GGAAUUUUGGGCAAUGGGCGAAAGCCUGACCCAGCAACGCCGCGUGAAGGAUGAAGUAUUUCGGUAUGUAAACUUCGAAAGAAUGGGAAGAAUAAAUGACGGUACCAUUUAUAAGCCCCGGCUAACUCCGUGCCAGCAGCCGCGGUAAUACGGGGGGGGCAAGCGUUGUUCGGAAUUACUGGGCGUAAAGGGCUCGUAGGUGGCCAACUAAGUCAGACGUGAAAUCCCUCGGCUUAACCGGGGAACUGCGUCUGAUACUGGAUGGCUUGAGUUUGGGAGAGGGACGCGGAAUUCCAGGUGUAGCGGUGAAAUGCGUAGAUAUCUGGAGGAACACCGGUGGCGAAGGCGGCGUCCUGGACCAAUACUGACACUGAGGAGCGAAAGCCAGGGGAGCAAAC
rnacentral:rRNA from 1 species